GGGCCUGUAGCUCAGUUGGUAGAGCACCUGCUUUGCAAGCAGGGGGUCAGCGGUUCGAGCCCGCUCAGGUCCA
rnacentral:tRNA from 1 species